rnacentral:rRNA from 1 species
CUUUAUCAUGUCAUUGUACUACACGACCUAUGGUAGGAAUAUUUCAGAGGUGAACAUUUUUAUCUGUUGGUAUUUAAGCCCAUUUAACAACCUACAGUUUCAACCUAAUCCCCAUUAUCUCAUCUCGCGUCGCCCCGAUCCAAUCUUGUGUCGUCUCCUUCCUUUCAUCGUCUCGAUCCAAUCUGCUCGCAUCCCCUCCGCCGCUCCUCUCCAGCAGCCCCCACGCUCCCACUCCCGCCCCGUCCACCUCCGCUGCCCCCACCAUCGACGCAACAACCACCGCCACCGCCGCCAUCGAGACCCCGGAGGAAGCUAUGCAGCACCGGUGGUGGAAUAGGCGCCGCCAACACCAGAGGCAGCCGCGCUUGGUAGGAGCAGCCUCUGGACGAGACAAUUCUCCACAUGAUCUGGUGACACAAGCCGUUGACCCACCUGAAGAACCCCGUUUCCUGCGGCUGCUCUUCUGGACGCUCUUGGCGCUGCUCACCCAUGGCGUGAUGUCCGCUGCCGAUGCCUCCAACCACGCUGACCUCUUGCUCCAGUUCUUCCACUUGGCUUAUAGCUAGGUGGUUCUGGGCUUCAGGUCGGAGCCAACCACCGUGGCGCUCCUCUACCACGCCUGCUGCAUCCUCCUCGAGACCAUGCCGCCCUUCUUUGUUUCCUUGAUGAGGCCACGACCGCAGGCAUUUUGCAGCGCUGCUCCCAUCCAGAUGCUUUGUUGUGGUGCUCCUCCUCUCAUUAUCUCCAUUUAAAUGUUUGAGCGGGAAUCAAUGUCGCUUUCUGGCUGUGCAUGAGUGGACAUGUUCAGCGCGUGUGGGAUUUCUCAAGUUCAAAGCUGACAUCGUCGAUGAGAAGACUGAACCUAAGGCUGAAGGUGGAGGAUGGUGUGGACGAGAUUUGGUCCGAGCAUUGCACUCGGAGAUGCUCUAAUAUUUAAGGAGUCCUUGUUUCUUAUAUUAUAUUUUAUCACAUUGCCAUCAAAUUAAAUUGCUUGAUUGAGUAAAUAGGUUCAUAAUCUACUAGUAAAUCUUUGCUAGCAUUAUUGGCAAGUUUCUGUAAGUAAUCUUUCUAGUCAAGCACUUGUGUAUCAUAUAUAGUAAUCUUAAGUUUUGCCAUUUUUCUCUUCUGAAUUUCCUCAUCUUGUUUUCAUAGCCAUGCUGGUUGCGUCUUCUAUGCUACUUGGUACACUCGUUAGACCCCAAAGCGUUGAAAUCUUCUUUUUUUGUUAAUAUAAUAUUACGUGAAAUGCCUAUUAAUAGGUCUGCUUAUUUAAAGUACUACAUUACAGAAUCAGUUUUGUUAAUUUUUACCAUCAAUGCAAAGACAAACAUGUAUUUGUGUGCUAAUUUUGCUACUUUAUUACAUUCAUGUUUGCUUUAGGAAAGUACAUAUGCGCAUGAAUUUUUUUUGCAUUGUCUAAGGUCCAAUUCCAAACGAGUUGAAGUGGAAUUCUUUUAGUUAGUUCUAUGACAAAUGUUAGUAAGUAUUUUGCAAUUCAUUUAGUUCCACUCUUUUUCAUCUUGCUGGUUCAGGUAGUACAAUCAUGCCACUAGUUCGGGAGAGUGAGAGGGAAAGGAGGGCAUUCCUUGCGGAACAUAAACGCAUGGGUGGUGUGUAUGCUAAGCUAAGGGGUGUAUUGAUUACAUGUACUUUAACCAUUAUACCUCUAGCUCUAAGUUAUGCAUGUUAUCUUGUUAGUUUUCAUCUCAUUAUGAUGCAAUGUUGUUGUGUUUGUCAUUUAUAGGCAUCGGGAGGAGUUAGCCGCAAGACUUGAAGCACAAGAGAGAGCAUUUGAAGAGAUACAAAAGAAGCAGCAAGAAGAAUUGGAGGCUCUAAAGAAGAUCCAACAAGAGAAGAAUGAAGCCCGGGCAAAGAUGCAAAAGGAGAUGCAUAAUCUGCUUGAUUUUCUCUUGAGGGCUCAAGCAACUUAGCAAGCAACUCUGCAAUCCCAGUCCAAACCAGAUGGUUCAUGAAAGCCAUCCUUACAUUGCAAUCAUCGGGACAACAUAUGUGGUCUUUAGUUAAUAUUAGUUUUCAUCUUGUCUAUUGUCUGUGUCAAACUUGAGUUAGUUUUUUACCCCCAUUUUUGUUUACAGAAUGAUUUGGCUGAGACGAUUUAAU